rnacentral:rRNA from 1 species
UACGUAGGGACCAAGCGUUGUUCGGAUUUACUGGGCGUAAGGCGUGCGCAGGCGGUUUUGUAAGCCAGAUGUGAAAUCCCCGGGCUUAACCUGGGAAUGGCAUUUGGGACUGCAAGGCUGGAGUGCGGCAGAGGAGACUGGAAUUCCUGGUGUAGCAGUGAAAUGCGUAGAUAUCAGGAGGAAUACCGAUGGCGAAGGCAGGUCUCUGGGCUGACACUGACGCUCAUGCACGAAGCGUGG